GACGAACGCUGGCGGCGUGCUUAACACAUGCAAGUCGAACGAGUGGCGGACGGGUGAGUAAUGUCUGGGAAACUGCCCGAUGGAUGGGGAUAACUACUGGAAACGGUAGCUAAUACCGCAUACCAUCGGAUGUGCCCAGAUGGGAUUAGCUAGUAGGUGGGGUAAAGGCUCACCUAGGCGACGAUCCCUAGCUGGUCUGAGAGGAUGACCAGCCACACUGGAAAUGAGACACGGGCCAGACUCCUACGGGAGGCAGCAGUGGGGAAUAUUGAACAAUGGGCGCAAGCCUGAUGCAGCAAUGCCGCGUGUAUGAAGAAGGCCUUCGGGUUGUAAAGUACUGUCAGCGGGGAGGCGUUACCCGCAGAAGAAGCACCGGCUAACUCCGUGCCAGCAGCCGCGGUAAUUC
rnacentral:rRNA from 1 species